AGGUUGUGCCCUUGAGGCGUGGCUUCCGGAGCUAACGCGUUAAGUCGACCGCCUGGGGAGUACGGCCGCAAGGUUAAAACUCAAAUGAAUUGACGGGGGCCCGCACAAGCGGUGGAGCAUGUGGUUUAAUUCGAUGCAACGCGAAGAACCUUACCUGGUCUUGACAUCCACAGAACUUUCCAGAGAUGGAUUGGUGCCUUCGGGAACUGUGAGACAGGUGCUGCAUGGCUGUCGUCAGCUCGUGUUGUGAAAUGUUGGGUUAAGUCCCGCAACGAGCGCAACCCUUAUCCUUUGUUGCCAGCGGUCCGGCCGGGAACUCAAAGGAGACUGCCAGUGAUAAACUGGAGGAAGGUGGGGAUGACGUCAAGUCAUCAUGGCCCUUACGACCAGGGCUACACACGUGCUACAAUGGCGCAUACAAAGAGAAGCGACCUCGCGAGAGCAAGCGGACCUCAUAAAGUGCGUCGUAGUCCGGAUUGGAGUCUGCAACUCGACUCCAUGAAGUCGGAAUCGCUAGUAAUCGUGGAUCAGAAUGCCACGGUGAAUACGUUCCCGGGCCUUGUACACACCGCCCGUCACACCAUGGGAGUGGGUUGCAAAAGAAGUAGGUAGCUUAACCUUCGGGAGGGCGCUUACCACUUCGUGAUUCAUGACUGGGGUGAAGUCGUAACAAGGUAACCGUAA
rnacentral:rRNA from 1 species